CAUGCCUAACACAUGCAAGUCGAACGGUAAGGCUUCCUUCGGGAAGUACACGAGUGGCGAACGGGUGAGUAACACGUGGGUAACCUACCCUUGACUGGGGGACAACCGAGGGAAACUUCGGCUAAUACCGCAUAACGUGCAUUGCCUCAAGGUGGUGUACCAAAGCUCCGGCGGUUAAGGAUGGGCCCGCGGCAGAUUAGCUUGUUGGUGAGGUAACGGCUUACCAAGGCGACGAUCUGUAGCUGGUCUGAGAGGACGAUCAGCCACACUGGAACUGAGACACGGUCCAGACUCCUACGGGAGGCAGCAGUGGGGAAUAUUGGACAAUGGGCGCAAGCCUGAUCCAGCCAUGCCGCGUGAGUGAUGAAGGCCCUAGGGUUAUAAAGCUCUUUCACCGGUGAAGAUAAUGACGGUAACCGGAGAAGAAGCCCCGGCUAACUUCGUGCCAGCCGCCGCGGUAA
rnacentral:rRNA from 1 species